rnacentral:rRNA from 1 species
UACGUAGGGGGCAAGCGUUGUUCGGAAUUACUGGGCGUAAAGGGCGCGUAGGCGGCAUGGCAAGUCGGGAGUGAAAGGCCUGGGCUCAACCGAGGAACUGCUUUCGAGACUGCCAAGCUAGAGUGCGGAAGGGGCAUCUGGAAUUCUCAGUGUAGCGGUGAAAUGCGUAGAUAUUGGGAAGAACACCUGAGGCGAAGGCGGGAUGCUGGGCCGACACUGACGCUGAGGCGCGAAAGCCAGGGGAGCAAACGGG